rnacentral:lncRNA from 1 species
CUACUAAUUCAGCACAUUCAGAAAUCUGAGGGGCUGGCGGAUAGCGUAGUAGUUGGGUUUGUGUGUUCCACUUCCUAGCCUUGGUUUGCCGGUUCAGAUCCUGGGCAUGGACCUACACACUGCUCAUCAAGCCACGCUGAGGCUGCAUCCCACAUAGAAGAACUAGAAGGACUUACAACUAGGAUAUACAACUAAGUACUGGGGUUUUGAGAAGGAAAAAAAAAAGAGGAAGAUUGGCAACAUAUGUUAGCUCAGGGCCAAUCUUCAAAAAAAGCAAAGAAAUCUGAUAAGGCAGGUGACAUCUCAGCAAAGCCAGGGAGGAGACUAAAGCACAUCAUCUUACCGUGGGAGGAUAUACAUUUCCCUGCAUCCAGAAACAUCUGAAGUCAACACGGCGGAAGUGAGAACAAUCUAGAUGCUGAUGACUAAGAGCCUGUUAUUCUGUCGUCCCUCCUUUCUUGACUGCUUGAAAUGCCUUAUAAUAAAACACUUGCACGC